UUAAGUUAUUAAGGGCGCACGGUGGAUGCCUUGGCACUAGAAGCCGAUGAAGGACGUUACUAACGACGAUAUGCUUUGGGGAGCUGUAAGUAAGCUUUGAUCCAGAGAUUUCCGAAUGGGGAAACCCAGCAUGAGUUAUGUCAUGUUAUCGAUAUGUGAAUACAUAGCAUAUCAGAAGGCACACCCGGAGAACUGAAACAUCUUAGUACCCGGAGGAAGAGAAAGAAAAUUCGAUUCCCUUAGUAGCGGCGAGCGAAACGGGAAGAGCCCAAACCAACAAGCUUGCUUGUUGGGGUUGUAGGACACUCUAUACGGAGUUACAAAGGACGACAUUAGACGAAUCAUCUGGAAAGAUGAAUCAAAGAAGGUAAUAAUCCUGUAGUCGAAAAUGUUGUCUCUCUUGAGUGGAUCCUGAGUACGACGGAGCACGUGAAAUUCCGUCGGAAUCUGGGAGGACCAUCUCCUAAGGCUAAAUACUCUCUAGUGACCGAUAGUGAACCAGUACCGUGAGGGAAAGGUGAAAAGCACCCCGGAAGGGGAGUGAAAUAGAACCUGAAACCGUGUGCUUACAAGUAGUCAGAGCCCGUUAAUGGGUGAUGGCGUGCCUUUUGUAGAAUGAACCGGCGAGUUACGAUUUGAUGCAAGGUUAAGCAGUAAAUGUGGAGCCGUAGCGAAAGCGAGUCUGAAUAGGGCGUUUAGUAUUUGGUCGUAGACCCGAAACCAGGUGAUCUACCCUUGGUCAGGUUGAAGUUCAGGUAACACUGAAUGGAGGACCGAACCGACUUACGUUGAAAAGUGAGCGGAUGAACUGAGGGUAGCGGAGAAAUUCCAAUCGAACCUGGAGAUAGCUGGUUCUCUCCGAAAUAGCUUUAGGGCUAGCCUCAAGUGAUGAUUAUUGGAGGUAGAGCACUGUUUGGACGAGGGGCCCCUCUCGGGUUACCGAAUUCAGACAAACUCCGAAUGCCAAUUAAUUUAACUUGGGAGUCAGAACAUGGGUGAUAAGGUCCGUGUUCGAAAGGGAAACAGCCCAGACCACCAGCUAAGGUCCCAAAAUAUAUGUUAAGUGGAAAAGGAUGUGGCGUUGCCCAGACAACUAGGAUGUUGGCUUAGAAGCAGCCAUCAUUUAAAGAGUGCGUAAUAGCUCACUAGUCGAGUGACACUGCGCCGAAAAUGUACCGGGGCUAAACAUAUUACCGAAGCUGUGGAUUGUCCUUUGGACAAUGGUAGGAGAGCGUUCUAAGGGCGUUGAAGCAUGAUCGUAAGGACAUGUGGAGCGCUUAGAAGUGAGAAUGCCGGUGUGAGUAGCGAAAGACGGGUGAGAAUCCCGUCCACCGAUUGACUAAGGUUUCCAGAGGAAGGCUCGUCCGCUCUGGGUUAGUCGGGUCCUAAGCUGAGGCCGACAGGCGUAGGCGAUGGAUAACAGGUUGAUAUUCCUGUACCACCUAUAAUCGUUUUAAUCGAUGGGGGGACGCAGUAGGAUAGGCGAAGCGUGCGAUUGGAUUGCACGUCUAAGCAGUAAGGCUGAGUAUUAGGCAAAUCCGGUACUCGUUAAGGCUGAGCUGUGAUGGGGAGAAGACAUUGUGUCUUCGAGUCGUUGAUUUCACACUGCCGAGAAAAGCCUCUAGAUAGAAAAUAGGUGCCCGUACCGCAAACCGACACAGGUAGUCAAGAUGAGAAUUCUAAGGUGAGCGAGCGAACUCUCGUUAAGGAACUCGGCAAAAUGACCCCGUAACUUCGGGAGAAGGGGUGCUCUUUAGGGUUAACGCCCAGAAGAGCCGCAGUGAAUAGGCCCAAGCGACUGUUUAUCAAAAACACAGGUCUCUGCUAAACCGUAAGGUGAUGUAUAGGGGCUGACGCCUGCCCGGUGCUGGAAGGUUAAGAGGAGUGGUUAGCUUCUGCGAAGCUACGAAUCGAAGCCCCAGUAAACGGCGGCCGUAACUAUAACGGUCCUAAGGUAGCGAAAUUCCUUGUCGGGUAAGUUCCGACCCGCACGAAAGGCGUAACGAUUUGGGCACUGUCUCAACGAGAGACUCGGUGAAAUCAUAGUACCUGUGAAGAUGCAGGUUACCCGCGACAGGACGGAAAGACCCCGUGGAGCUUUACUGUAGCCUGAUAUUGAAAUUCGGCACAGCUUGUACAGGAUAGGUAGGAGCCUUUGAAACGUGAGCGCUAGCUUACGUGGAGGCGCUGGUGGGAUACUACCCUAGCUGUGUUGGCUUUCUAACCCGCACCACUUAUCGUGGUGGGAGACAGUGUCAGGCGGGCAGUUUGACUGGGGCGGUCGCCUCCUAAAAGGUAACGGAGGCGCUCAAAGGUUCCCUCAGAAUGGUUGGAAAUCAUUCAUAGAGUGUAAAGGCAUAAGGGAGCUUGACUGCGAGACCUACAAGUCGAGCAGGGUCGAAAGACGGACUUAGUGAUCCGGUGGUUCCGCAUGGAAGGGCCAUCGCUCAACGGAUAAAAGCUACCCCGGGGAUAACAGGCUUAUCUCCCCCAAGAGUUCACAUCGACGGGGAGGUUUGGCACCUCGAUGUCGGCUCAUCGCAUCCUGGGGCUGUAGUCGGUCCCAAGGGUUGGGCUGUUCGCCCAUUAAAGCGGUACGCGAGCUGGGUUYAGAACGUCGUGAGACAGUUCGGUCCCUAUCCGUCGUGGGCGUAGGAAAUUUGAGAGGAGCUGUCCUUAGUACGAGAGGACCGGGAUGGACAUACCUCUGGUGUACCAGUUGUCGUGCCAACGGCAUMGCUGGGUAGCUAUGUGUGGACGGGAUAAGUGCUGAAAGCAUCUAAGCAUGAAGCCCCCCUCAAGAUGAGAUUUCCCAACUUCGGUUAUAAGAUCCCUCAAAGAUGAUGAGGUUAAUAGGUUCGAGGUGGAAGCAUGGUGACAUGUGGAGCUGACGAAUACUAAUCGAUCGAAGACUUAAUCAA
rnacentral:rRNA from 1 species